UUGCCCACCUCUUGGAGAGCACCUCCACCAGCGCCGGUUUCGCUCCUGCUGCUCCCGGCGGCGUUUCCGUCUCAGAGAUGUGCUCUGGACGGUCUGCCCCCACUGCUGCCAUGUGCAUGAGUACGAGCGCAUGCUGGUGGGGUGUUUGCUUGGGUGCUCGAACCCCUGGUUCAUGUGCGUGUUCGUGGCUACCUAGCCCGCGCGGCUGCCCUCUCCCUGCUCGCCGGUCGCCGCCGCUCGGGUUGUUCGCACAGGCUAAGCCACGGAUUGUGUACGAAAUAUUCACAACAAAGAAACGAUCAAACAGAGAUCCAGUUACAGCAAAGAUGCGAAAAUUGAGUAGUCAAUAUAGCAGGUGCAGUGUGAACUCCUGUUUUCCCGUAGUAACUUCAGAAAAAAGUCUCUCUACCUGGGUUAAGAAAUUCAGAACUUUACAGUGAGCAGAAUGUGGACCUUAUAAGGUCUACACAUGCAAGAUUCAGGAAUUGGAAACGGAAGUAACACGGCAGAAGUUCUCCACUGGGCUCAAGGGGAUGAAUUGGUUAACUACAGAGAGCUUCAACAUGGUGGCAACCUGGGUGAGCUACCUUUUGUUGAUCCUUGCUGCUUGCUGAUAUUGUGGUAUCUCUAGCCUGAUUUUAGUGCGCUAGCGACAAUUAGCACUGCUAAACUUGAAACCAAAAUGAAGCUAUGAGUUACCAUAAGUUGUGUAGAAAACGAUGAUUCAUCUUCAAAUCAUGUCAUGUUUAUUCUUAUUGUUCCAAGGAACAUCCUGCUGUUGUUUUUACCUCCUGAAUUGUCAAGUAUUAAAAUGUACAAAUAUAAAAAUUCACUGAAUUAAGAACUUCCAUAUCGUUUUCUAUUUUACCAGUUUGGAAUCCAUUGAUCACCGAUUGUGUAUAUGUUCUGAUCCAAGAAGCAAUUUUUUCUGUUCAAUCCUUUUGUUGAGGC